UGUCUGUGUCGUUUUGGCUUGAAAAACAGGUCAAGCGGAGCAGUGUUGUUCUUUGCGUGUACACUGGCUUGAAAAGUCAAUUUAUUUUUAGCGUCGUUUGCAUGAAAAUUUAAAUAUAUAACAUGGCAAUAUGUGAAGUGGAACAAUUUAUCAGUCCUCAGAAUGCCAGAUUUGACUCCAUUAACUCUGUAGGCUGCGGCAGUUUUUCAAGCUUCGAUUAUUAGGAGAACAGUGUGAUAGGUGUUAAUCAUACAAAAUACUGAUCUAGCCUCAUCAACGGUACUUGGGAAAAUAAAAAUUUCAUGCAUUUACCAGUAUAAAGCUCAGAUAACAUUGUUUAAUAUUCUACUCCCUCUGUUCUGUAACUAGCAAUCAAAGUAACCCUACUGUUGUAUUUACUCCCUUGUUUACACAUAUAAGAGCCAUAUUCUAACUGUAUGCCAUGUGGACAUGUGGUACUUUGAUUGCCUGCGCCCAAAAGCAAGGCCACGGCCCAAUUAUGACUCGACGUGUGGACCAAUGUAAAGCACAGAAGCAAGGCCAGCGCCCAGCUCUUGCGAGCCACAUGAGCCUCUCAGGAUUAACCUUACUGUAUCAGUAUCAUUUUCAUACCACGACGAUAAUCUGCAAGACCAGCUUAGUUCAGAGUUUAGGCUGCUCCUGAAUUUCAUUCAUGUGUGCAUCUUUUGUCUAUGUAAACUUGUAAAGCAUGUGUGGCAGCUUAGUUCAGCUUUGAUCCACUUUUCCAUACAUUUUUUUCAUGUAAGAUUGUUGGUUUCUGCAAACAACUAGGUCCCCAUUUGGUAUUUCAUUGGAUACAAACCUGAA